rnacentral:rRNA from 1 species
UACGUAGGGGGCAAGCGUUGUCCGGAUUUACUGGGCGUAAAGAGCGCGUAGGCGGUUUGGUAGGUCCGCUGUGAAAACUCGAGGCUCAACCUCGAGACGCCGGUGGAAACCAUCAGGCUAGAGUCCGGAAGAGGAGAGUGGAAUUCCUGGUGUAGCGGUGAAAUGCGCAGAUAUCAGGAAGAACACCUAUGGCGAAGGCAGCUCUCUGGGACGGUACUGACGCUGAGACGCGAAAGCGUGGGGAGCGAACAGG